rnacentral:misc_RNA from 1 species
UACACAUCAAGCACUUGCACAAGUACUAACUAGAGCUGGUUUAAUUCCUUGUACAUUUUUGCAUUUGUUUCCGGCUCCAUUACAAAUAUGAAGCAGCAAUCUUUCGUCUUAUUUUCACUUCUAAUUAUCUUCAUUCAUUGCACUAUCACUCUAGCUCAGUCUCCGGCUGCUGCACCAGCACAAGGACCCGUGGCUGCAUCCCCACCUCCUCCACUCAUAACACAGACACCAGCUGCAACCCCAGCACAGCCAGCUUCAGUGCCUGCUCCCACCAACGUCACUAAAAUCCUUGAAAAGGCUGGCCACUUCACAGUCCUCAUCCGCCUUCUAAAAUCCACUCAAGAGGAAAACCACUUACUCACUGUCCUCAACAAUUCAAACAAUGGUCUCACCAUCUUUGCGCCAACCGAUGGCGCGUUUUCGACUCUUAAAUCAGGCACUCUCAACUCCCUA